GGAUUGUGGCUUAGAGGUAGAGCACUCGCCUAGCGAGGCAGAGCACUCGUACGAGGCCCUGGGUUCGAUCCUCAGCACCG
rnacentral:tRNA from 1 species